UACGUAGGGUGCGAGCGUUGUCCGGAAUUAUUGGGCGUAAAGGGCUCGUAGGCGGUCUGUCGCGUCGGGGAGUGAAAACUCAGGGCUUAACCCUGAGCCUGCUUCCGAUACGGGCAGACUAGAGUUCGGCAGGGGAGACUGGAAUUCCUGGUGUAGCGGUGAAAUGCGCAGAUAUCAGGAGGAACACCGGUGGCGAAGGCGGGUCUCUGGGCCGAUACUGACGCUGAGGAGCGAAAGCGUGGGGGAGCGAACAGG
rnacentral:rRNA from 1 species